rnacentral:rRNA from 1 species
GCGGAUCCGCGGCCGCUGCAGAGUUUGAUCCUGGCUCAGGACGAACGCUUGCGGCGUGCCUAAGAAAUGCAAGUCGAGCGAGGUCAUUCCUAGGCAAUAGGGAGAAGCCUAGCGGCGAACGGUCGCGUAACACGUAAGCAACCUGCCCCAAAGACCGGGCUAGCCCGCCGAAAGGCACUUAAUACCGGAUGUGGUUCCCUCAAGGCAUCCUGGUGGAAUUAAAUCCCGGAAGGGGCUUUCGGAUCCGCUCGCCCCCUAUCAACUUGUUGGUGGGGUAACGCGCUGACCAAGGCGACGCCGGGUAGCUGCUCUGAGAAGCUGGUCAAGCGGAUUCGACUUCGACAAGGCCAGUCUCCGGGCCAGAUUACGAUUUGGCAAUGGGGAAACUUGCGGAGCGAGGCGC